rnacentral:lncRNA from 1 species
GUCGACAAAUAUAAGACGUUUUUAAUCUAAAGACAGAGAAAGUGAAAUGGGUCGAAUUUGGCGCUCAAAGUUGUGAGAGUUACAUCAUCGACGGUGUGACGUCAACGUGGGUCAUUUGCAUAGCUAGGUCAGUUGUCCAAUUCAUUGACAAUGUGGCAGAAUAGUGAUGCAUUUACUAAAAUGAGUGCAAAUAAUCGACAUAAUAAGAUUAAAUCGUUAGUGGAUUAAGUAUCUAAUUAUACAGACAUCAUGGAUAAUCUACAGAAUUCGAUAUUUCAUAAGGGACAACCAUGGAACUAAGGAAAACGCGCGUGAAUUUCCCCGAUGUAAUGGGUAGAACGUCCGGGGAUAUGGGUUAGCAACACUCAGUGGCUACGGGUUUUGUAACGACGUGCAUUAACCAAUCAAAAUCCUAGAAAUAUACUAAGCCGGGG